GGCCGCCAUGGCGGCCGCGGGAAUUCGAUUAGAGUUUGAUCAUGGCUCAGAUUGAACGCUGGCGGCAUGCCUUACACAUGCAAGUCGAACGGCAGCGCGGGGCAACCUGGCGGCGAGUGGCGAACGGGUGAGUAAUAUAUCGGAACGUACCCUGGAGUGGGGGAUAACGUAGCGAAAGUUACGCUAAUACCGCAUACGAUCUAAGGAUGAAAGCAGGGGACCGCAAGGCCUUGUGCUCCUGGAGCGGCCGAUAUCUGAUUAGCUAGUUGGUGGGGUAAAGGCCCACCAAGGCAUCGAUCAGUAGCUGGUCUGAGAGGACGACCAGCCACACUGGAACUGAGACACGGUCCAGACUCCUACGGGAGGCAGCAGUGGGGAAUUUUGGACAAUGGGCGCAAGCCUGAUCCAGCAAUGCCGCGUGAGUGAAGAAGGCCUUCGGGUUGUAAAGCUCUUUUGUCAGGGAAGAAACGGGUCUUUCUAAUACAGAGAUCUAAUGACGGUACCUGAAGAAUAAGCACCGGCUAACUACGUGCCAGCAGCCGCGGUAAUACGUAGGGUGCAAGCGUUAAUCGGAAUUACUGGGCGUAAAGCGUGCGCAGGCGGUUUUUGUAAGUUUGUCGU
rnacentral:rRNA from 1 species